GAUGAACGCUGGCGGCGUGCUUAAUACAUGCAAGUCGAACGGAAAGGCCCUGCGCUUGUGGGGUGCUCGAGUGGCGAACGGGUGAGUAACACGUGAGUAACCUGCCCUUGACUUUGGGAUAACUUCAGGAAACUGCGGCUAAUAUCGGAUAGGAGCUCCUGCUGCAUGGUGGGGGUUGGAAAGUUUCGGCGGUUGUGGAUGGACUCGCGGCUUAUCAGCUUGUUUGUGUGGUAGUUGCUUACCAAGGCUUUGACGGGUAGCCGGCCUGAGAGGGUGACCGGCCACAAUGGGACUGAGAUACGCCCCAGACUGCUACGGGAGGCAGCAGUGGGGAAUAUUACACAGUGGGCGGAAGCCUGAUGCAGCAACGCCGCGUGCGGGAUAACGGCCUUCGAGUUGUAAACAGCUUUCGCCUGUGACGAAGCGUGAGUGACGGUAAUGGGUAAAGAAGCACCGGCUAACUACGUG
rnacentral:rRNA from 1 species